rnacentral:pre_miRNA from 1 species
GUUAUACUCCCUCCGUCCCAAAAUUCUUGUCUUGGAUUUGUCUAAAUAUGGAUGUAUGAAGUCACGUUUUAGUAUUAGAUACAUCCGUAUCUAGACAGAUCUAAGACAAGAAUUUUGGGACGGAGGGAGUACUAC